rnacentral:rRNA from 1 species
GAUGAACGCUGGCGGCGUGCCUAAUACAUGCAAGUCGAGCGAACGGACGAGAAGCUUGCUUCUCUGAUGUUAGCGGCGGACGGGUGAGUAACACGUGGAUAACCUACCUAUAAGACUGGGAUAACUUCGGGAAACCGUAGCUAAUACCGGAUAAUAUUUUGAACCGCAUGGUUCAAAAGUGAAAGACGGUCUUGCUGUCACUUAUAGAUGGAUCCGCGCUGCAUUAGCUAGUUGGUAAGGUAACGGCUUACCGAGGCAACGAUGCAUAGCCGACCUGAGAGGGUGAUCGGCCACACUGGAACUGAGACACGGUCCAGACUCCUACGGGAGGCAGCAGUAGGGAAUCUUCCGCAAUGGGCGAAAGCCUGACGGAGCAACGCCGCGUGAGAGAUGAAGGUCUUCGGAUCGUAAAACUCUGUUAUUAGGGAAGAACAUAUAUGUAAGUAACUGUGCACAUCUUGACGGUACCUAAUCAGAAAGCCACGGCUAACUACGUG